rnacentral:rRNA from 1 species
CAGUAGCCGCGGGAAAACAGAGGGUGCGAGCGUUAAUCGGAUUUACUGGGCGUAAAGCGUGCGUAGGCGGCUUCUUAAGUCGGAUGUGAAAUCCCUGAGCUUAACUUAGGAAUUGCAUUCGAUACUGGGAAGCUAGAGUAUGGGAGAGGAUGGUAGAAUUCCAGGUGUAGCGGUGAAAUGCGUAGAGAUCUGGAGGAAUACCGAUGGCGAAGGCAGCCAUCUGGCCUAAUACUGACGCUGAGGUACGAAAGCAUGGGGAGCAAACAGGAUUAGAUACCCCCGUAGUCCCUGUCUCUUAUAU